GUAUGUAUAUUAUAAAAGUAUCUUGACUUUUAGAAUUUGGGUCUCAGUAUAUGGUGUUUUGGAAAAGAGGUUUUUCUUUUGUUUCCACAGAGAUGAGAACCUGUGAAAUACUUCCAGACAAACAUAAUUUGAUAGACCAUGGCCCCUGAAAGGUCACUGUGAACACCCUCAAAAAAUUACUUUACCUAACUGCUGACUGAGAUGAACCUAUCACACAGGAUACACCAUGAAAGACGUGAUUAACAGUGCUCCCAAACAGCAGGAAGAGGCAGUUACGAAAUUUGUACAGACAUGUGAAUUGGAGUGUGUCAUCUGCUAGAUCCUGGACACCAAUCUGACUGUUAAAUUUGUCCUGUAACCUGUCCCUUCACCACCAUUGAACACAGCUUGAAGUAGCUUCCAAACAUGGCCCUUACACUAUAGUCGAUGACUUCUGAGAAUGACCGUCCCUGCAGAACGGAAUAACAACAGAGCUUCUUCCUGUUGAUGUUUGGAACCAGGAGUCCUGAGACAGGCAGCUCAUGUCUGGAGACAUCAAGAGAAGGUCCCAGUGAAGCACUUCCUGUCUUCCUUGUGCUGCAUGCGCCCCUGAGGGAUUGCCACAAGUGGUUGCUGCUCAUUGUGGCUGUAACAGGCCAUCCAAGAUGGAGCACAGAGAUACCAAUGCCAUUCAUUAUUGUGAAAAGUUGUCCCCUCUUCUUAAAGUAUCACCCUCUUUUGAGCAGUAGAAAAACAAAUUCUGACAAAACCUGAUUAAAAUCCUGGAACCAGAAUUUAAAGUGAAACUAAUUUUCCAGUCUUGUGCAGUAGCAUCUUAAGGUAAGUCACAUGUAAGGUAAGUCAUGUGUUAAUUCCCUGUUGAAUCUCACAUGUCCACAUAGUUUGGGUUAAAUGACCCAAUAAGUUUGCUUCUCAAUGAGCUGAACACUUGUGUCUCUUUUCAAUCAGUCUGAUCUCUCCCAGCAUCUGCAGUGUCACGUCUCUGACAGUAGAGAUAGUGUGAGCCUAGCUGCCCCGUGUUCCCAGUGGGGUGCAGACCCUUCACUGUUCUUUCCCAUGUCAUAGAGACCCCAAGUUUAUCCAGCACAUGAGCAUUAAAGCUGCCACCUUAAUUAGCAUGACUAUCACUAUGCGGAACAAGAAUACGAGGGACAUUACUAGACAGAACGAUAGAAGCUAUAAUUUACUAUGACUCCCAUGUAGACCAUGUUCCGUAGUUGCUGAAAGCCAGCACUGUGUCGGAUUUUGUACCUAGAGUUUGAGAUGACUGAGGAGUUUCCCACGGUGUGACUGUUCCAUGUCUUUGCUCUUCCCCAGUGGACAGGCACCUGGUGGUUCCCAUUCCUUGGCUAUUGUGAAUGGCCCUGCUGAGAGCAUUUGAGCAAACCUCUGACACACUGAGUGUGUCCUCUGGAUCUCUACCCAACAGUGCUAAUGCUGGAUCUCAUGGUGGCUAUGUCUUUGUUUCCUCAAGAGCUGCCAUGUUGUUUUCCAAAAUAUUUGUAUAUUCACGCGUAUAACUUCUGUUCCCAUUUAUCUUCUGUUCCUAUUCAUCAUUGAAAAUUAUUUCAGCUAUAAAAAUUCCUGUACAUCUGACGGUGAGCCCUAGGUUGGAGAGCUCCCUUUUCAAUGUGCAAGUAUUACUCUUAUGCUAAAUGGUCAGAGUAUCAAAUUUCCACCAAAUUGUUAUGUUUACUCCCAUGAAUUACUGCCAUCUCCAACCUCAUCAGGAUUUUGUCCGGUGUAGUUUGGGUAACACAGAAAUGUACAAUGUUUCACGAUGCUGAGAGUAAAUGCCAGUGGAGUGCUCAGCCACAUUUAGGACAUCUGCAUCACUCCCUUCCCUGUGAGCAGGGUCCACUAUGAAAGAAGAGCAGAGAGAUUGAAGAGCCAGAGGUCAGAGAGGACCAGAGAGGAACGGCAUCUCCUGGACAACCCUAGACUGCUGCACCCAUGAAAUCUCAGAAUCUGUGGCGGCCUCCAUAAGACUGUAAGGAAGGGACAUUGAUUUACAUGAUCAUGAAAAGUAACAGAAUGUUUUCCUGCAGAGACCCUGGGAUCAUGAGAAUAUUGUAUAUUGGCAAAGACCAGGGAAAAGAGAGGCAGAGAUCUAUGUACCUGAAUAGUGAACAUGCCAACAAAUCUGGCACCUAAACUUUCCAAGAUCAACAGAGACAAUUCCAGAGUUGCAACACAUUGGCCUCUAGUUCCUCUAAUUGAGGGAGCAUUUUACUGAUUUUUCAUUUGUUUUUUUUUUUGUUUUUUACAUAAAGGAACAUUUUACUAUUGCUUUCACAUGAAUGCUUACCUGUGUUUAGGCUCCAUGCAUGGGAUGUCAUUGGUCCAUUCACCUUCAUGUGGAGUCUUCUGGAAAACAUUUUCCAGAUGCUUGUGUCCUGUGACCCACACUGAACAUUCUGUUCCUCCCCUGCCUUCAUCAGCAACUCUAGAAAUUGUUGCUAAUUUGAUCUUGGCUCUGGAAGGACAGCAGCCUUUCCUAUUUAGAAUUUUUUAUCUCUGUGAUUUCAUGACUAGGUGGGGGCUCCUGGUUACUUGGCUCUUUUCUUUAGUUUUCCUUGGGAGACUCCAAAUAAAGACUAAGAUAUAAACCAUGGAGGUGCACUGAUCUUUAGGAUGAGCUUAUAGAUAUGUGCUGUAGUCAUGGAGACAGCAGGUGAGAAGAAGAUGUGCUAACUACACGCAUUUGCGUUUGUGAACAACGAUCAGUCAAAAAUAGAGGGAAAGGGCCAAAAUAAGGAUUUCUGGAUAGACCAUGGUAGCAGAUUAUGGUAGUUUAAGUGUGAUUGGCCCCCAUAAUCUCAUAGGAAAUGGUACUAUUAGGAGGUGUGUCUUUGUUGGAGUAGGGACAGCCUUGUUGGAGAGUCACUGUGGAGGCAGACUUUGAGGUUUCCUAUGUUCAGUAUAUUACCCAGUAUAUUACCCAGUAUAUUAUUCAGUGUCUCAGUCAACUUCCUAUUGUCUGAAAGAUGUAGGGCUCUCAGCUAUUCCUCCAGCACCAUGUCUGCCUGCA